ACGAACGCUGGCGGCGUGCUUAACACCUGCAAGUCGAACGGAAAGGCCCUGCUUUUGUGGGGUGCUCGAGUGGCGAACGGGUGAGUAACACGUGAGUAACCUGCCCUUGACUUUGGGAUAACUUCAGGAAACUGGGGCUAAUACCGGAUAGGAGCUCCUGCUGCAUGGUGGGGGUUGGAAAGUUUCGGCGGUUGGGGAUGGACUCGCGGCUUAUCAGCUUGUUGGUGGGGUAGUGGCUUACCAAGGCUUUGACGGGUAGCCGGCCUGAGAGGGUGACCGGCCACAUUGGGACUGAGAUACGGCCCAGACUCCUACGGGAGGCAGCAGUGGGGAAUAUUGCACAAUGGGCGGAAGCCUGAUGCAGCAACGCCGCGCGCGGGAUGACGGCCUUCGGGUUGUAAACCGCUUUCGCCUGUGACGAAGCGUGAGUGACGGUAAUGGGUAAAGAAGCACCGGCUAACUACGUG
rnacentral:rRNA from 1 species